rnacentral:rRNA from 1 species
UACAGAGGGUGCAAGCGUUAAUCGGAAUUACUGGGCGUAAAGCGCGCGUAGACGGUUACAUAAGUCGGGUGUGAAAGCCCCGGGCUCAACCUGGGAAUUGCAUUCGAGACUGCGUAGCUAGGGUGCGGAAGAGGGAAGCGGAAUUUCCGGUGUAGCGGUGAAAUGCGUAGAUAUCGGAAGGAACACCAGUGGCGAAAGCGGCUUCCUGGUCCAGCACCGACGUUCAGGCACGAAAGCGUGGGGAGCAAACAGG